GACGAAAUAGCUCAGUUGGGAGAGCGUUAGACUGAAGAACUAUAAGUCCCUGGUUCGAUCCCGGGUUUCGGCA
rnacentral:tRNA from 1 species